GACGAACGCUGGCGGCGUGCUUAACACAUGCAAGUCGAACGAGUGGCGAACGGGUGAGUAAUGUAUGGGGACUGCCCGAUAGAGGGGGAUAACUACUGGAAACGGUAGCUAAUACCGCAUACUAUCGGAUAAUCCAUAUGGGAUUAGCUUGUAGGUGAGGUAAUGGGUCAACUAGGCGACGAUCCCUAGCUGGUCUGAGAGGAUGAUCAGCCACACUGGGACUGCUACACGGCCCAGCCUCCUACGGAGGCAGAAGUGGGGAAUAUUGCACAAUGGGCGAAAGCCUGAUGCAGCCAUGCCGCGUGUAUGAAGAAGGCCCUAGGGUUGUAAAGUACUUUCAGUCGGGAGGCGUUACCGACAGAAGAAGCACCGGCUAACUCCGUGCCAGCAGCCGCGGUAAUUC
rnacentral:rRNA from 1 species